AAUGCAUCACCGCACACGGGGCUCGCGGGUCCGGGAGCGCGACGGAGACGAUGCCUGAGAUCAGAGUCACGCCCUUGGGGGCCGGCCAGGACGUGGGCCGAAGCUGCAUCCUGGUCUCCAUUGCGGGCAAGAAUGUCAUGCUGGACUGUGGAAUGCACAUGGGCUUCAAUGACGACCGACGCUUCCCUGACUUCUCCUACAUCACCCAGAAUGGCCGCCUGACAGACUUCCUGGACUGCGUGAUCAUUAGACUUUGAGACUGAAAGUUGCAGGGAGACAGUUCUAUGUUUGCUGAUUCCUGACUCUUUGGUACUUGGGAUGGGGCCUGGUGCACAGCAGGCGAAUGAAGGGGCCAGUGACCCACAAGCCCAGAGCUGGGGUGAAGGCUGGGGCAGGGUGGGCCCAGGCUGACCUGUGCUGCAUCCCCCUAGCCACUUCCACCUGGACCACUGCGGGGCACUCCCCUACUUCAGCGAGAUGGUGGGCUACGACGGGCCCAUCUACAUGACCCACCCCACCCAGGCCAUCUGCCCCAUCUUGCUGGAGGACUACCGCAAGAUCGCCGUGGACAAGAAGGGCGAGGCCAACUUCUUCACCUCCCAGAUGAUCAAAGACUGCAUGAAGAAGGUGGUGGCUGUCCACCUCCACCAGACGGUCCAGGUUAGGUUCCCAGAGCCACAGACGGCACAGUCACUGCCCACCCCCACACCAACCAUGCCCUCUGCCCAUUCUACACAGUCUCUGGAAGGCUGGGGCCUCAGGGUGAGCCCACCCCACCUCACUCUUGCAUCCAGCACUGUGGGGACACCAGGAGGCGGCAGCGCGAGGAUGUGGGUCCCAGACUGGACUGGGCGCCGACCUGCGAGAGCACUUGCACGGUGGGGGUGUCCCCCGGC
rnacentral:sRNA from 1 species